GAAAUGCGAUAAGUAAUGUGAAUUGCAGAAUUCAGUGAAUCAUCGAAUCUUUGAACGCAUCUUGCGCUCCUUGGUAUUCCUUGGAGCAUGCCUGUUUGAGUAUCAUGAAAUCUUCAAAGUAAAUCUUUUGUUAACUCAAUUGGUUUCUACUUUGGUAUUGGAGGUCUUUGCAGCUUCACACCUGCUCCUCUUUGUUCAUUAGCUGGAUCUCAGUGUUAUGCUUGGUUCCACUCGGCGUGAUAAGUUAUCUAUCGCUGAGGACACUGUAAAAGGUGGCCAAGGUAAAUGCAGAUGAUCCGCUUCUAAUAGUCCAUUGACUUGGACAAUACUUUUAUGAUCUGAUCUCAAAUCAGGUAGGACUACCCGCUGAACUUAAGC
rnacentral:misc_RNA from 1 species